GACGAACGCUGGCGGCGUGCUUAACACAUGCAAGUCGAACGGAAAGGCCCUGCGUUUGUGGUGUGCUCGAUUGGCGAACGCGUGAGUAACACGCGAGUAACAUCCCCUUGACUUUCGGAUAACUUCAGGAAACUGGGGAGAUAACAGCGGAGAAUCUCUUGCACCGCGUGGGGGAUGGGAAAGUUUCGGCGGUGGGGGAUGUACUCGCGGGUUACCAGCUGCUUGGGGGGGUAGUGGAUUUCCAAGCCUUCGACGGCUAGCCGGCAUAGGAGGGUUGCCGGGGACCUUGGGACUGAGAUACGGCGCAGACGCGUACGGGAGGCAGCAGUGGGGAAUAUUGCACAAUGGGCGGAAGCGUGAUGCAGCAACGCCGCGUGCGGAAUGACGUCCUUCGGGUUGUAAACCGCUUUCGCAUGUGACGAAGCGUGAGUGACGGUAAUGGGUAAAGAAGCACCGGCUAACUACGUG
rnacentral:rRNA from 1 species